GGAGGGUGGCUUUGUUUGAAUGGUCGCUUUAGGGGCGGGUUGUUAGACUUGUGGGUCUUCA
rnacentral:tRNA from 1 species